UACGUAGGGGUCCGAGCGUUGUCCGGAAUUAUUGGGGCGUAAAGGGCUCGUAGGCGGUCUGUUGCGUCGGGAGUGAAAACUUACAGCUUAACUGUGAGCGUGCUUCCGAUACGGGCAGACUUGAGGUAUUCAGGGGAGAACGGAAUUCCUGGUGUAGCGGUGAAAUGCGCAGAUAUCAGGAGGAACACCGAUGGCGAAGGCAGGUCUCUGG
rnacentral:rRNA from 1 species